UACGGAGGGAGCUAGCGUUGUUCGGAAUUACUGGGCGUAAAGCGCGCGUAGGCGGCUUUGUAAGUUAGAGGUGAAAGCCCGGGGCUCAACUCCGGAACUGCCUUUAAGACUGCAUCGCUUGAAUCCGGGAGAGGUGAGUGGAAUUCCGAGUGAUAGAGGUGAAAUUCGUAGAUAUUCGGAAGAACACCAGUGGCGAAGGCGGCUCACUGGACCGGUAUUGACGCUGAGGUGCGAAAGCGUGGGGAGCAAACAGG
rnacentral:rRNA from 1 species